GCAUCGGUUUAGCUCAGUGGUUACAUCUACACAAAGGCAACUAUUUCGAACUCUUCUGAGUGUGAAGUACGACCCCGGGCGCGGUCCGAUGUUUUU
rnacentral:vault_RNA from 1 species